UCUCCCCCAGUCUGGAGGCCCCAGUUCUCCAGUUCCCCGCUCUCUCCCCAUCUCAGACACUCUGCUCCCUCACUUUUCAUAAGCACGAGUCUCACUUAAAAUGCACGAUAUGCCACACUCCCGUUCUUCUUUUCAUUAUUUUGAUGAAAUGAGCAGAAUUACACUUAACUUACAGGAUAAAGAGUAAACAAGCACAAACAAGAAAAGCAUAGAUAAAACUAAAAGACCGGUUGGAGCUUUGAAUGUAUUUCUUUCUUUUUAGCCUCGUUCAUUUGAUGGGCUUCCAAUGCUCCUGACUACAACCUUGUCCAUAUUUCACACAAAAAAUCUUCAAGGUCGCAUGGCAUCCUAAUAAUGAGAGGGACACUUUGCGUGCAGAGUUGUCCACAAGGCAAAGAGUUCUGUUGAUGGUGCAGAAAGGAUAUCAAGGUUUGGCAAGAUCCCUCAUGCUUCAGUCACCUGCCAUUCUUCAUAAAUUAUUGUUCAUCAUGACAAUGGUGUCACUCCCUAUCUCACUGUCUCCUGGAAGAUGCAUAUAUCUCUCUUCAUAUUUGAUACAGUAUUUUAUGCAGACAAGACUGACAUUCAGUUACAUAUUUCACAAGUUACGCAAGUAAUAAAUGAUAACUCAUCUUAUUACAUACCUGGUGCGUCAAAUGAGAGAGCCAUGUAGGGGAUAACCCUGUAGUAUAAAAGAAAGCAAUAAUGAUAAGGUUAGUAUGUGGGAUCAAAAAGGAUCUCCAUAAUGACAGAAACUUACACAACAGAGGUUCUGC